CACAUUCAACAACACACACAGGUUUUUGUCACAGCACUUUUCACUGUGGGGGGCAGCAAGAUCUUUGGCUCAGGCACCAGACUGUAUGUAAGAGAUCGUCCAGUUGUGCCGCCCAAAGUGAGCAUCUACCCAGCGACCAGAGCCGACUCGAACAAGAACAGCUCCCUGCUGUGUCUGGCCACAUCCAUGUUUCCUCCUCAGGUCGAGUUCUCUUGGAGGACAAAGGACAACAAGAGGACAAUUCCUGAGGGAGAGCGAGUGGAGCUCAGAGAGGAAGAGCACGCCGCCUCCAUCGUGCUGAUCGAUCAGGAGGAGCUCAUCACGUAUCAAUACAUCUGCUCCGUCAAACACCAAGGGGGCACGGUGGAGGCCAAGAUACCACCAGAGCUUCCAGCGUCUGCAGCCUCCAUCCCUCCAGUCACAGACACAGCAGAGCCGCCAGCCGGGGAGCAAAGUGACGUGUCCUUCCAGUUCCAGUGCAGGGUGAAGCUGCUCUCUCUGGUUUCCACAGUGAUGAUAGUGAAGAGCAUGGUGUACUGCUGUGGACUCUCUCUCCUGAUCAUCCACAGAAACAAGGGACUUGCUGACUGACUGUCCUGCAGCGCCGCUUGAUGAUGUCAUCACUGACUGUCCUACAGUGCCGCUUGAUGAUGUCAUCACUGAGCGAAGUGUCAUCAGUUAAUUGCAUUUCCUGUUUUGUUCAGUCGUUGGAAACGUUGUCACUUUAUGUUUAACCCUUUGAAAGGCUUUUAUUUUGGAAAGGCAAUUUAUUCUCAAAAUUCACUUUUAGUAUCGCCUGUUCAUU